GAUGAACGCUGGCGGCGUGCCUAAUACAUGCAAGUCGAGCGGACCAAAGAGAGCUUGCUCUCUGAGGUUAGCGGCGGACGGGUGAGUAACACGUGGGUAACCUGCCUGUAAGACGGGGAUAACUUCGGGAAACCGAAGCUAAUACCGGAUGAUAAAGAGAAACGCCUGUUUCUUUUUUGAAAGUCGGCCUUGUGCUGACGCUUACAGAUGGGCCCGCGGCGCAUUAGCUAGUUGGUGAGGUAACGGUUCACCAAGGCGACGAUGCGUAGCCGACCUGAGAGGGUGAUCGGCCACACUGGGGCUGAGACACGGCCCAGACUCCUACGGGAGGCAGCAGUAGGGAAUCUUCGGCAAUGGACGAAAGUCUGACCGAGCAACGCCGCGUGAGCGAUGAAGGCCUUCGGGUCGUAAAGCUCUGUUGUCAGAGAAGAACAAGUACCGGAGUAACUGCCGGUACCUUGACGGUACCUGACCAGAAAGCCACGGCUAACUACGUGCCAGCCGCCGCGGUAA
rnacentral:rRNA from 1 species